UACCGGCGGCCCGAGUGGCGGUCACUAUUAUUGGGCUUAAAGCGUCCGUAGCCGGGUUGGGAAGUCCUCCGGGAAAUCUUGCCGCUUAACGGUCAGAAUGCCGGAGGAUACUCCCAGCCUAGGGAGCGGGAGAGGCCGAGGGUAUUCCCGGAGUAGGGGUGAAAUCCUAUAAUCCCGGGAGGACCACCUGUGGCGAAGGCGCUCGGCUGGAACGCGUCCGACGGUGAGGGACGAAGGCCAGGGGAGCAAACCGG
rnacentral:rRNA from 1 species